rnacentral:rRNA from 1 species
AAUUUGAAAUGACGUGAGCGGCGGACGGGUGAGUAACGCGGUGGGUAACCUGCCUCAUACAGGGGGAUAACAGUUAGAAAUGACUGCUAAUACCGCAUAAGCACACAGUACCGCAUGGUACGGUGUGAAAAACUCCGGUGGUAUGAGAUGGACCCGCGUCUGAUUAGCUAGUUGGCGGGGUAACGGCCCACCAAGGCGACGAUCAGUAGCCGACCUGAGAGGGUGACCGGCCACAUUGGGACUGAGACACGGCCCAAACUCCUACGGGAGGCAGCAGUGGGGAAUAUUGCACAAUGGGGGAAACCCUGAUGCAGCAACGCCGCGUGAGUGAAGAAGUAUUUCGGUAUGUAAAGCUCUAUCAGCAGGGAAGAAAGUGACGGUACCUGACUAAGAAGCCCCGGCUAACUACGUGCCAGCAGCCGCGGUAAUACGUAGGGGGCAAGCGUUAUCCGGAUUUACUGGGUGUAAAGGGAGCGUAGACGGCACAGCAAGUCUGAAGUGAAAUCCCCGGGCUCAACCCGGGAACUGCUUUGGAAACUGUUGGGCUGGAGUGCUGGAGAGGCAAGCGGAAUUCCUAGUGUAGCGGUGAAAUGCGUAGAUAUUAGGAGGAACACCAGUGGCGAAGGCGGCUUGCUGGACAGUAACUGACGUUGAGGCUCGAAAGCGUGGGGAGCAAACAGGAUUAGAUACCCUGGUAGUCCACGCCGUAAACGAUGCAUACUAGGUGUCGGGGAGCAAAGCUUUCCGGUGCCGCCGCAAACGCAGUAAGUAUGCCACC